AUUUAUUUUUAAUAAUAAUAUGGAAUGAGAGUCUGGUUGGGUAAAAUGAAUUUAUUUAAUAAAGAGUGAAUUUAUUUAGUAAAAUGAAUUUAUAAUGAAUUUAUUUUUAAUAAUUAUCUGCGUUUUAAGUUCUUCUCUUUCCUCACUCUUCUCUAUCUGGGUAGGUUUUCACAUAUUACUUUUUGCAUCAAAACAAUUUCUCUUUCUAUGAAGAUGCCACCCUCCUCACCUUCAACCUCUCUUCCCUUAUCCUCAACAUCCUCUCUCUCACCAUGCAGGUCGGUCACCCUCUCUGCCCACAACCCC
rnacentral:lncRNA from 1 species